GCGCACAGCGGCGGAGGAGGGAAAAAAUCCAGCGAGUGCGUGAGCCGCCUCCUGAAGAGGUGUGACUAUCGAUCACAGGUGUGGGUUCUCGGGCCGAGGGCUUCCAUGGUGGCUGGGGCAUCUGGUGAGGAGGAAGAUAGAAGCAGGCAGACACGCAGUUACUGACUGGCAUUUGUCAACUCGAGAAAACUUGUGGAGCCCUCAGCACCAGCAGCAGCAGCGGCCUGGGUCUGUGGUGGCCGUGUUAGCUGCUGUUUUCGUCAGUGACGAACACUGCUAGUGUCCUCUGAAGAGCGGUCCACCAAUGUCCGCCGUGAGGUCCACAGUGAGGAAAGCGCCACGGUUGCACUGGCAUCUGCAAGGGCUGUUGUGGCCCUCCGAGGCAAAAGCUGCUCAAGUCCUUGGCGGAGCCGGCCGGCCACGGAGAAGUGUGUUCGCUUUGCCCAUUGCCGACUUUUUGGGCUUUUCUCCCUAGAUUGGUGAUGUCAUCUGCAGGUAUGAGAAGAACAAGUGGAAUAUAGUAUCCAACCAUCUGUCUUUAACCUGGUCACACAGUGUCAUUGUUCUUCAUUUGGCUAUCGUUGAGAAUUCAAGACAUGCUUUGUAAUUGUCAUUAAUCAAGAGAGCAUUGUGACUAGUGUUGAGAUAUAUAGAUACAUAUAUGGAGAGAGAGGAGAGGAGAGAGAUCUAUAUAUGUAUAUCCAUCUAUAUCUAUCUAUCUGUGUAUCCAUCUAUCUGUCUAUCCCAACAGAGACAAAAUAUAUAUUAAAAGGUCAUUGGUCAUCAGAGCUUUGACAUUGCUUAAUUCAUUUGCUUCUUGUAAUUACAUUGUAUACCAACUUAUUUCAAGAUGAGGAAAACACCUCUAACAUAUAAAACUGGAAUUCCAGCUCAGCUUUUGUGAUUCCAAGGUUCAUGGGGACUCCCCACUGUCUUACCAAGCUCAAACCAUUCAGUAACUGAAAAACAAUAUGAAAAUGUCUUUGAAAAUGUAAUCCCCAAGUGUGAGUGUCGUUCUGAAAAAGGAUGGCAAAUGUAUUUUUAUUAUCAAAGUAUUACAUGAAUUUAGACAUAUCUCCCUGAAAAAGUAUUUUCUAAUCAGCCAAAAAGUGUUAAUAUGACAUACUUGCAAAUUAGGUAGAGAAAGAGAGGUGAUAAAACAGAAAUUGUGAAAUUGUCUAGCAGUCAUUUUGACAAUAUUUUAUGGCUACAAUAUUCAUUACAGUGUGGUACCUAUUUGGGAUAUAAUAAGUAAAAUACAGAUUUUUGUCUGAUUUUCUUGAGAACUUACACACAAUAAAUGGUAUCUACUUUUACUUACAUCAUCUUUAGUGUACUGUUAUUCUGGAAGCAGUUACCACAAAUAAGUAAUAGAAACGUAGUAAAAUCCUGUGCAGAAAAUGGAUGGUUAAAAGGGCAACAUUUCUUCUCUAAUUGUUACCUUUCCAACUUUUCACAUAGAGUUUGUACUAUACACCAACUGAAAUGACAGCAAAGUGCUAGUGAGAAGGGAAAACUCCCAUUUAAAGCUUUACAAGUUUGCAGGAAUAAACACAAUGUGCUGUCUUGACUGCUUUUGCCAGGGGUAUAUUGUUCUCUUGUUAAAUUUCUUUUAGAAUCCAUUGCCUUGCACCCGAGAAUAUAGUUGCCAAAUAAUGUAAGCAUUCCAACCCCAAGAUUAUACUGUAGAACAAGAUCAGCCCUUCUUUCUGGCAGACGCAAAUAAUUGUAAACAAAAUGUCCCUGACACAUUAUUAGUUGAUAUGGAAAUUAUUCUUGACAUAGAAGACUGAGAAUGGGAAAAGCAUCCAGUAUGUGCAGUGGCAGAUUUAGAAAAAAUAAAUAAAAUAAACACCUUCAACAUAUCCCUUCUACGUCACAACAACAAUUUAAAUGAAAUAAUUUCUUUUCACUCUAUUCUCUACAGGGCUAGAUUAGAGGAAUGUAUGGAGGGGGAUUGUUAAUUACUAGAUUCAGCCAGAUUUGUGCUGGACACUUUAUGAUAUUCAGUGAGUUAUAGCAUUGUAGUUAAGAUAAUAGAUUUAAGAAUCAAUCAAACUUAGGUUGGAAUCCUGGUUCUUUAACCUAGAGCAAUUCAGUUAACCUCUCUGAGCCUCAGUUUCCCUAAGUCUGAUUGAGCAAUAAGUGUCUUUCAGUAUUGUGUUGGAUCAAAAAAGACAAAGAACAAUGUACAUAAGAUAUUAAAUUUAAUGCCUGAUGUACAAUGAGUGAUGUAUGUAUUAAUGUAAUUAGAGUCAGAUGUCAUCUAUGUUUGGCAAUAACUAGUGAUAUACCUUACUUAGAACAUGAAGAAGAAACCAAAAUCUAAUAAAAGUCCUUUAAUGGCAUCUUGUUUUGUAUUUUCAA